UUUUGGGAGGGGUUGGAGAGGAGGGCGGCGGAGAAGGAGAGGCGGUCGAGGUCGGGCUUGUCGAGCCACCAUGCCCGGAACUCCGCUAGGGUUUGGGCGGCGCCGCCGGGGAUGGGGGAGACGUCGUAGCGGCGGUCGGCGAGCAUCUCGAGGAGGGUGCGCCGCGCCAGGUAGUACCGGUGGCUCUCCACGCCGCCGCCCUCCUCGCCGCUCUCCACCAUCGCGCUCAAGCAGCACCCUUCUCCUUCUCCCUCUCCCCCUCCCGCCUCCGCCAUUUUCUCUCUCUUUCGAUAGAAAUUGAAAAUUUCUCGACUUUUUUUUUUUUUUUUCAGUUACCCCGCCCUCUAAUUAGAAAACUUUAUUUUAAAAAUGCUCUUUUAAGUUAUUUUAAAUAUAUUUUUAAAGUACACUGAUAGAAAUAAUUAUUAUUUUUAUAAAAUUACUAUUCUUCCUUUUCAAAUAUAUACAUUUAGUCAUCACUAAUUUUUUUUAUUUAUUAUACAAAAUUAAUAUUUUGACUUAUGCUCUACUGCCGUCAAUUUUUCUUAUUUGUCUUUAAAUAAGAGAUAAAAGAGAUAUUUUGACUUUUUUUAAUUCUAAUAAAAAUUUAAUCCGAAUUUAAUUUGAGAUUACUUAUGCUUCAUUUGGUAUUGCGGGAAGAAUACUUUACGUGCGGUGAGAAAGUACGUUGGAAAAAUAGCUUAUUUGUUUCCGUACGUAAUAUUACGUUUCAUAUAUCGUGAUGAGUCAAUUACGAUAUAUUUUUUGCGGUCCCACCAGAAAACGCAGAAGCAUAUCCUUAUAUGCUUUUUUCAAACUCCAUUUUAUCUAAUAACGUUAGAUAGGCCUCAAUACCAAACUAAACCUUAAUAGAUACUAACGGCGUGAUUAUUUUUAAAUAAUAAAAAAAUAUACUAUGGGUAUAUUUGAAACAAAAAAAAAAGUAUGAAUAUAUAUAUAUAUAUAUAUAUAUAUAUAUAUGGAUAUAUAAAUAAUUAUUCCUAGAUUUUAAUACUAAAAAAAUGAAAAACUUAAUAAGACUAGUGUAAAAAUAAAUAAAGUGGCUUUUUGGAUGGAAGGGCGUAAAGAUUUACACCACUUUCUGUGUAUCUAGACAGAAUUUACAGUAUUCUUUUCUAAAAAAAUAUAAAUUUUUUAAAUGAUAAAAAUUAUGUUUUAACUAAAUCAAUUCAAAUGCAAUAUGUUGGUUGUACUACCUGAACUGAUUAUCAUCCGGUACAUGUGCAUGCUAGCCCUCAGCAACUUUUCAGAAAACCUUUGAAAAUACUUGUAGUAGUUCUCAUUCGAAAAAUGGUCUUAUAAAGAUCUAUAUAUGAGCAUUCGANGAGGAGGGCGGCGGAGAAGGAGAGGCGGUCGAGGUCGGGCUUGUCGAGCCACCAUGCCCGGAACUCCGCUAGGGUUUGGGCGGCGCCGCCGGGGAUGGGGGAGACGUCGUAGCGGCGGUCGGCGAGCAUCUCGAGGAGGGUGCGCCGCGCCAGGUAGUACCGGUGGCUCUCCACGCCGCCGCCCUCCUCGCCGCUCUCCACCAUCGCGCUCAAGCAGCACCCUUCUCCCCCUCCCCCUCCCCCUCCCGCCUCCGCCAUUUUCUCUCUCUUUCGAU
rnacentral:lncRNA from 1 species